AGUGAACGCUGGCGGUAGGCCUAACACAUGCAAGUCGAACGGCAGCACAGUAAGAGCUUGCUCUUACGGGUGGCGAGUGGCGGACGGGUGAGGAAUACAUCGGAAUCUACUUUUUCGUGGGGGAUAACGUAGGGAAACUUACGCUAAUACCGCAUACGACCUACGGGUGAAAGCAGGGGAUCUUCGGACCUUGCGCGAUUGAAUGCGCCGAUGUCGGAUUAGCUAGUUGGCGGGGUAAAGGCCCACCAAGGCGACGAUCCGUAGCUGGUCUGAGAGGAUGAUCAGCGACACGGGAACUGAGACACGGUCCAGACUCCUACGGGAGGCAGCAGUGGGGAAUAGUGGACAAUGGGCGCAAGCCUGAUCCAGCCAUACCGCGUGGGUGAAGAAGGCCUUCGGGUUGUAAAGCCCUUUUGUUGGGAAAGAAAAGCAGCAGGUUAAUACCCCGCUGUUCUGACGGUACCCAAAGAAUAAGCACCGGCUAACUUCGUG
rnacentral:rRNA from 1 species